CCGAGUUUACAACUCCCAAACCCAAUGUGAACGUUACCAAACUGUUGCCUCGGCGGGAUCUCUGCCCCGGGUGCGUCGCAGCCCCGGACCAAGGCGCCCGCCGGAGGACCAACCAAAACUCUUAUUGUAUACCCCCUCGCGGGUUUUUUACUAUCUGAGCCAUCUCGGCGCCCCUCGUGGGCGUUUCGAAAAUGAAUCAAAACUUUCAACAACGGAUCUCUUGGUUCUGGCAUCGAUGAAGAACGCAGCGAAAUGCGAUAAGUAAUGUGAAUUGCAGAAUUCAGUGAAUCAUCGAAUCUUUGAACGCACAUUGCGCCCGCCAGUAUUCUGGCGGGCAUGCCUGUCCGAGCGUCAUUUCAACCCUCGAACCCCUCCGGGGGGUCGGCGUUGGGGAUCGGCCCUUUACGGGGCCGGCCCCGAAAUACAGUGGCGGUCUCGCCGCAGCCUCUCCUGCGCAGUAGUUUGCACACUCGCAUCGGGAGCGCGGCGCGUCCACAGCCGUUAAACACCCCAAACUUCUGAAAUGUUGACCUCGGAUCAGGUAGGAAUACCCGCUGAACUUAAGCAUAUCAAA
rnacentral:rRNA from 1 species